AAAAUCCACAAAUAGGUCGACUCCACCCACCGUCUACUUAACCCAAUCAGAUAAUGCCCGUGUUGCGCUGACCAAUCGCAGCACGCUCUCUCUCCAACCAAUUACGUUUUUCAUAACAACCAGGGCGGGAACAGACACAUGAACGCGAGUCACUCACUACAGUCUCUUCAACAUGGCCGAUCAGGAGGAGUAAAGACAGAUACUACAGACCAGCUACAAAAGCUUACAUCAUUUUGGACUGGAUGGGAAGUCCCAUCCAAGAAUCUCCAGGUAAAAGUUUGGAAUGGAAGAUACUUCAAGGCUUCUACCUGCAGCAGGACCCUGAUGAUACCAGCUGAAAUAACCACAAUGGAUAACUUUGCAUCUACAUUGCAAGCUUGUGCAAACACAUCCUCCACUGGAUUUGGACUUGUUUAAGUCUGGACACUGGUUCUAUGUA